rnacentral:rRNA from 1 species
AGCGUGUGGUUUAAUUCGAUGAUACGCGAAAACCUUACCUGGGUUUGACAUGCAAGUGGUAGGAAUCUGAAAGGGGACCGACCUUCGGGGAGCUUGCACAGGUGCUGCAUGGCUGUCGUCAGCUCGUGUCGUGAGAUGUUCGGUUAAGUCCGCUAACGAGCGCAACCCUCGUCGUGUGUUACAAGUGUCACGCGAGACCGCCGACGUCAAGUCGGAGGAAGGUGGGAUGAUGUCAAGUCAGCAUGGCCUUUAUAUCCAGGGCUACACACACGCUACAAUGGUCAACACAAUAGGUCGCGAAACCGCGAGGUGGAGCCAAUCCUCAAAGUUGGCCUCAGUUCAGAUUGUAGGCUGCAACUCGCCUGCAUGAAGAUGGAGUUGCUAGUAACCGCAGGUCAGCACUACUGCGGUGAAUACGUUCCCGGGGUUU